AGAGGAUAGUGAUGAUGAUGAAAUGAGCCAGCUUCUGAGGCACGACCAAUAUGGUUUGAAUAUGGCUACCAUAUCAUCUUUGAAGCUUCUCCAGGCUAAACAUGAGCAGCUUCCUCAACAAGACCCAGUUUCCAGAUGCCUUACCAUCUGCUGGAUAUGUUCGAAAUUGUGCUAUCCUUCUUUAUCUGUGGCUCCCAGAACUGGACACAGCAAAAUGCAAGUGGUGAAGCUCAGCCCAGCAUGAAGAGACAACACAGAACGGGAAAACUGGGCUGCUGUGGGAUUAGGUUUGGUCUCUGUGGGCAGUCAUAAAGAAAACAUGUGGUAUAAGGUCACAAACGUGAGAGAGAAAAGAUAGAAGGAAAUGCAGAGCUCUUCAAGAAAUACUGUUUGCUCCCAGUGGUUCUAAGAAGGCUUACAGUUUAAUCUCCGGCACAUGAACAUGGGCGUCUAUCCCCUUGAUUUUGAUGGAGUUUGCUUUCAAAGAUGGUACAAGACAGAUUUGUUUCCUAGAGGUUAUUGCUGAAGCUGCACCAUGUUCUGCCACAAAGCAUUCUUGGCAUUGGAUUGCAUUUGAAGAGUGGUAAAGAAAACUACAAAGAAGAUUCAGCCCAGAAAGGUAAUCAAAGCGAGCACAGAUCUCUCAAACACUUUGAGAUUGAAUUCAGCUUUUAUUCUUAAGGUUGUCCACAGUUCUUCAGCAGAACAUCAGCCUCCCUUUCUCCUCCCUCAGUCUGUGUCCCAGAUAAAACUCCAGAAGCUGAGCCAAGCUUUUACAGUUUCCUGUAUAUAUCUGAGCAAUAUUAAUGAAGGCUAAAUAAAUACAUAAAUAAAUCACUGAUAUACUACAGCUUUUUUGUCCCCAUGUCCCUGUCUCUGUUUGGAACUGAGUCGAGAUCCUCUCCCAAACUUAU